UUUUGUGACCACUACAGGAUCACCACUCCCAGAUUCACCACCAUAGAAUCCGAGUUCCCCGCAAGGAACCAAGCCUCUCAACAAGCCCGGAGUCAACAUCAUCAUUGGAACUCAGUCCGUUCAUCACUAGGCAUCGGCCUUUCAUGAAUGCAUGCACACCAAACAUGCAUCAUUAUCAACAUAGCAACAACAGCAUCAUAUAGUCAUGUUAUCAUCAUCAUUAAUAGCAUGACAUACAACUCAAAACAACAACAAC
rnacentral:lncRNA from 1 species